GUAAAAAGUGAAAGAUGGUUUAUCGUCUACUGUCCAUCUGAAAGUCACAUCCGACCCGGCCUCCAUCACAGGGAUGUAGCUCUGAAAGCUCCUGGUCGGCACCGGGGAGCCUGAAAUCCUGUUUAUUGCUGCUAGUUCAAUCAAAGUCUCCAGAAAGACAAGCGAAAGGAGGGGACAAAACUUGGAGACUCUCAGCUGGGGGGAUAACAACAACACUGUGACUAUUGUUGGGUUUCCUUUCAAGCGUUCCCAGUGAGAUGACAGAGUGGUGCAAUGGUCAGUGGCUUCAGCUUCUGGGAAUCCUGCAAACUCUGCCCGUCCUCCUUCACAUAGGAUUCACGCCCAGAGGAUGAAAAUCCAACCCUGAGCUUUGGAUGGCUGGGGGCCCGGCUCUAGGACUUUUCAUCUCAAAGAAAAUCCCUGGGACAGACAGGGCUAGGGACUCAGCUUCUUAUAAUCACCUGGGAGAGGAAGCAUUUUCACAGCUCACAACAGCAGAGCAAACCCCCAAAAUGCUCUUUGGGCCACAUGCUUUAGCCAUUCAUUCUGCAAGAGUCUGGGCGGCUGUAUGGUCAUGGAGUGGGAAGCCGUUUGAUUCUGAAGACUGAUUCAGAGCUGUCUGCCGUCUGUAGGUAUGUCUACACUGCAAUAAAACACUCCCCGCUGGUCAGUGUCAGUUGACUUGGGUUCGUGGUGCUCAGGCUGUGAAGCUAGAAAAUUACAGCACAGACACUGAGGCUCAGGCAGAAGCCUGGGCUGUGGGACUGUCCCACCAUUGCAAAGGCCUACUGCCCUACAACGUGGGGUGUUUGCUAAACCAUGGCUGGGAUCCCUGUUCAGAGAUGUAUCAGGAUGAGGAGGUCUGGAAUGUAGCCAGGCCCUAUGCUGCUCACCUUUCUAUACCACAGUCAGGAUGGGCCGAUAAGGUGAGCUGGGCUCAGUCUUGCCUGUGCAUGGCUAGUCACCUCCACAGGGGAUGAGAAAGAGUCUGAGGGUCACGUGAAUGGCAACAGGUGACUGAGAACAGACCUGGUGGGAGAUAUUCAGGAGAUACUCCAGGGAGAACAGACCUAGAGCGAGUGCUCCAUUAAAGAGUAGGAAACCAGCCAGGAAAAGGGCCCGUGAGAAGAUUAGGCACAGGAAGAGGUCCUGGGAAGGAAAGUCAGAGCAGUUGGAGUUAUCGAGCACAGAACGCAAUGGCUUAUGUCCCAGGGCUGGUGGUCCGUAGUGUGGGUUCUCCCUAUGCUACCACCUUGUGAGGUACUACAGCCACCCCUCAAUGAGGGGAAGAAGGGACUGACUGGAGCCCAGGAGGGCUGGAAGCUGAGCUCAGGAGAAGGGCUACAGACUGUGGAGGAAGAGGACAGUCCCUGAGAAGAAGAGCUGAGCCUGGCAAACUCUGGGGUGGAAGAUUUGGUGCCAUGUUUCUUUUGGACUGUCCUUAACUCUGGAAAGGUGGGAGGAGGGGGUUGUGACUUGGCCACUGAGCUAAGUCACCUCAGUGACCUACCCACACUGGGAGCUAAUGGAUGACUGCCAUGAAUCACAACAGAAGCAGCACCAGGAGGGAAACUGAGGCACUGGACAGACGAGGUGAAUCCCUGCUACAAGCUGAGUCUGUUUUACUCAAGUGCUUCCACUCUAUCAGUGCAUGAUGGAACCGUUCUCAACAAAGGAGUUGGCCCAUUGAUUCUACAAGGACCUAGUCAACUGUCCUUGUGCUGCUUUCCA